rnacentral:rRNA from 1 species
ACGCACGCUGGCGGCAUGCCUAACACCUGCAAGUCGAACGAGACCUUCGGGUCUAGUGGCGCACGGGUGCGUAACGCGUGGGAACCUGCCCUUAGGUUCGGAAUAACUCCCCGCAAGGGGUGCUAAUACCGGAUAAUGUCUUCGGACCAAAGAUUUAUCGCCUUUGGAUGGGCCCGCGUUGGAUUAGCUAGUUGGUAGGGUAAAAGCCUACCAAGGCGACGAUCCAUAGCUGGUCUGAGAGGAUGAUCAGCCACACUGGGACUGAGACACGGCCCAGACUCCUACGGGAGGCAGCAGUGGGGAAUAUUGGACAAUGGGCGAAAGCCUGAUCCAGCAAUGCCGCGUGAGUGAUGAAGGCCUUAGGGUUGUAAAGCUCUUUUACCCGGGAUGAUAAUGACAGUACCGGGAGAAUAAGCUCCGGCUAACUCCGUG